GACGAACGCUGGCGGCGUGCUUAACACAUGCAAGUCGAACGGAAAGGCCCUGCUUUUGUGUGGUUCUCGAGUGGCGAACGGGUGAGUAACAUGUGAGUAACCUGCCCUUUACUUUGUGAUAACUUCAGGAAACUGGUGCUAAUACCGGAUAGGAGCUCCUGCUGCAUGGUGGGGGUUGGAAAGUUUCGGCGGUUGGGGAUGGACUCGCGGCUUAUCAGCUUGUUGGUGGGGUAGUGGCUUACCAAGGCUUUGACGGGUAGCCGGCCUGAGAGGGUGACCGGGCACAUUGGGACUACGAGAGGGACCAGACUCCAACGGGAGACAGCAGUGGAGAAUAUUGCACAAUGGGCGGACGCCUGAUGAAGAAACGCCGCGUGCGGGAUGACGGCCUUCGGGUUGUAAACCGCUUUAGCCUGUGACGAAGCGUGAGUGACGGUAAUGGGUAAAGAAGCACCGGCUAACUACGUG
rnacentral:rRNA from 1 species